CAGCCGCCGCGGGAAAACGUAGGGGGCAAGCGUUAUCUGGAUUUACUGGGUGUAAAGGGAGCGCAGACGGCUCUGCAAGUCUGAAGUGAAAGCCCGCGGCUUAACCGCGGGACUGCUUUGGAAACUGCAAGGCCUGAGUAUCGGAGGGGCAGGCGGAAUUCCUAGUGUAGCGGUGAAAUGCGUAGAUAUUAGGAAGAACACCGGUGGCGAAGGCGGCCUGCUGGACGAAAACUGACGUUGAGGCUCGAAGACGUGGGGAGCAAACAGGAUUAGAGACCCCCGUAGUCCCUGUCUCUUAUAC
rnacentral:rRNA from 1 species